ensembl:lncRNA
UUUGUAAAUCCAGAGUUCCUAAUGCACAUUUGGUUUAAGGCUAAAGUCCUUCAUGUUUUCACCUAGCUGGUGCUGGGAGGAAAAGGGGAAAUAUUUUAUAUGAUUUCUUCAUCACGUAAGUAGACAAUACCUGUUCACCUCAGAGCUACACUGUAAAGAUGAGAUUAACACCUAAGAAUCGUCUUCAGACAGCAUACAAAUAUGACAUAUUUUAACAAAAAAAUAUUGCUUUCACUUGAAGACAGUCCCAACUGUUUACUCCACCUUUGUCUUUCUCUCGGAUGCUCUGAAACUACUGCUUAUUCUCUGGCACAAGCACACAUUAACCAGGUCUGAUAGGAGAAAGCCUGCUAAAUGGGCUACACAACUAGAGCUUCAGCAUUGCUAAAUAAAGGGACGCAUUUAUCUACUCAGCGUUAUUUCCAUGGCUCUGGGUUUCCUGACACGUCAAGGCCAGCUUCCUGCUGACUGAUGGGCCACAUUCCCCACCAUGGCUGAAGGCACAGUGUAUCUAACUUCCUUCCAUGCCGCACCUUGGACCCAUCUCAAGUUUGAAUGACUCCACACGACCCUCAGAGGGUGAACCUUCUUCUGUUUACUUAAACACAUGCUGCCUGGUAAAAAACUCUCCUGGGACAAAGGGAAGCAUUUCUGGAUUCCACCCUGCAGAGCAAUGAAAAAAAGGUGACUCCACUCACCUUUGAUUGCUGCCACUAGCUACUGUGAUUCCCUUCCACAGAAUGAAGAUAAAUGCAGGCUUGGUGCACAGGCUCCUGGAGGUUGCUCUCUUGUUUCUGUCACGCAGGACGUCAGACAACACUGGCCUUGCAGUCUGUGAUGGUUUUGACCUUCUGGAUGCCUUUUCUGCUCAUUCCACAACCAUUCAUUCAUUAGCUUCUUAGGAGAUGCAAUACUGCUAUCUAAUUAUGGAGUUGGGAUAUUCUUCACCUCCCUGCAUGGAUCAUCUAGAAUCAAGUGGAACCUGGCAUUUCCAGGUGGUGUUACAGGACUCUGUUUCACUGAAUGAGCUUAAACACAAGGCAGAGAUUGAGCAGGCUCUGUCAACAAAAUAUGAACAACCACAUUAACAAAUACACACCAGUAUUUGAGUAUCAGAAAAGUAUCAGAAAAUGCCUGCUUUGACUGCGUGCUGCUGUUUUUUUGUUUUGUUUUGUUUUGUUUUGUUUUGUUUUUCC